UUGCACCCCGGCGGCAAGUUUGUCUUUUGGUGCGUUCCUGAGUUUAGUCUCUAAAAUUUUUCGAAAAGUAACAAUUUGAAGUUAGUUGCUGUAAUAGACCAUUACAUUUUUAAAGAAAUUUUUAAAGAAAUGUUAGAUAUACAGUUAUAGUAUAGUCUUGAGAACUGUAAUAGGACUGAAGCAAGAAGGUAUUAUUUACAACAAUUUCCUAAUUGUCGAUUGCCAUGUGAGAAGCUUUUCCAAAGCAUGCACCGACAGCUCUAAACUUGUAAUGUCUGUAAAUAGAUAGAUAGUCGUUUGGGAAUUUAUAUUCAUAGGAACUUUUUUCUUCAUUUUGAUGUGUACGACCUACUCUCAAUGUAACAAGCCACUUUUUUGUUAUAUUCUGUAUAAUGAUGAUUUAUAUAGGAAAUCAUCUAAUGGUUCAAUCCAUCUAUCAUGUAAUGGUUAUAAAGAAACGACUUUGUACGAUGAAGUUAACGUUGCCAUCUUGCAAACGUUAAAAGUUAGAUGCAAUUACAAAGUUGAAAAACGUGACAAGUCUGUUGCAAUGCUUUCGAUAAAAUUAUAAUUAUUUUCCAAAUAAUAAAUUUAUGAUCAAAAUUUAUUAUUUUGAAAAUGAAAUUAACCCUAUAUAGGAAUUAUUACUGUCUCGCUUGAAAUAUACUUAACGAAUUAACUGCAUUUAUAGUAUUAAAUAUUCUUAUUCUUUAUAAUAUAGUAUACCCAGUAAUUUAUAAAUAUUAAAUAAGAAGAGUGCUAAAAAGAAUAAGUAAAGACGUAAAAAAUGCUUCUAUAAAACUAUGAUAAGUCACUAGUUGAAAAGUGAAGGCAUUAAUCUUCUCUUAUUGAGCCAGUAAAUCAAUUUUACUCCAAUUAACAAGGCCACAUCUCAAUCCUAAAUGUCUGCCAUUAGGAUCUAAAUGUGGCCGCCUGCAUAUUACCAAUGUUGAGGCAUUUUUAAGACUGCAGUAAAUAAAUUUUUAUUCCUGAAAGUUCACAACAUUGAUCAUAUAUCCAUAAAAUGUCGUCGUUUUCUGUAUAAGUUCAAUAUUUUUCAAAUUAAUAAAUGGGGAAGUGACUGUUCCAUCUGAUGAAUCUUUUAACUAAAACAUCGUAAUAUAUAUAUCUUCUAACAAUUUAUCUAGAUAAACUAUUAUGUACAAUAACAAUAUCAUAAUAGCUUAACAUUUGUUAAAUUAUGAUGAUGUUAACUGUUUAUUAAAUAUACGUAUUAUUUCAUAUUUUAUAUCACAGAUAUAAUAAUAAAUAUAGUCACAUGGUUUAUUUUCCUUAAUAUUUUGUUGUAAUAAUUAUUAAAAUAAAUUA
rnacentral:lncRNA from 1 species